AAACCCCAUUUCUUGGAAUUAAUCCUUGAUAUUCCUUUUUAAUGCCCAUAGAGAUAGUGUAAAAUGUUUGUCAGUUGACUUAUUAUUUUUUGGAUCAGCUAAUGAGUGUCAAACUCUUAUAGAAAACCAUAUGUGUGUCACUAUGCUGAUACGUGGUUUACAGACGUUUUAUUUUAGUACACAUUAUUGUACGGAAACCAUCCUGUCUUUAGCAUAAGAACUUCGAAAUUGGGAUCGCGGCCACUUUAACCAUUGUUUUAUUGUUAUCCUUUAACAUUCUCUGGGAAAAGCUCAAUACUGCAGUUUUCGAGUCCGCUGAUGUUAAACUAUGGUGAAACACACACAUCAUUAUCAGCACCCCUCCGAAGAGGGCCAUUUAGACGUCUGCGCGGGGUUCUGACUAUUGGCAUAGUGAAACGAAUUAUCAUCGUCGAUUUUGUCAGAAAAUAAUAUUUUUAACCAUGGUGUGAGGAUAUAAAAUAAAGGCACAAACUUUAUUCAGAAGUGCUAUUCAUAAAUAUCUUAAGAGGAUACAUGCGUCUUUUUAAUUCAAAACAUUUUUUUAUUAUUCAAUUGUACAACUCAUUAGGAAUAUUGUCUGAAAAUAUCCAGCCGAUCCGAGCCAAGUUUCCAGAGAUAUAGACAUUUAAAGCUCGUAGUUACGGUCGAAUCACCUUGACUCUCAGAAACUUUAAACGCGUUUUUCUCAAAACUGCUUCUUUGAAGUGGGUAGUCAAAAUUUCUCGAUAACUUACGAACCGAUCGGCUUGAAAUUUUGCAUACAUCUUUUAAACAUGUUUGACUACUGCUUGAACGAAGGAUUUUUUACAAUUCAGUUGAGAGGGUAAUACGUGGCCAAAUUUUGUUCAAAAAUGCAUAUGAUUUGCAAAAAUAUUUUUUUAAAUCCUUUGCUCAAGCAGUUGCUAUACUCACUUACUAAAAGAAAAACUUUGGUUUGUCGAAGUUUAGAUAAAAAUUACCUAAGUUACAGUAACUACCGACACAUUUCUAACGCUGAGGUUAAUUAAAGCGCUGUCAACGGCAGAAUUUACAAUAUUUUCAAAUGCAAAUUUUUGUACAUGAUGUUGACUUACGUACAAGAAAAAAAUUUAAUACUAAUAUUGUCGCUUAAAAACCAAAUCCAGAAAAACGACCUUGUUUUAAGUAUCAAGACCCAUGAAACCCCUUGGUUGAUGAUAUUUUGAUAUUUUGUAUUGUACUUUACUACAAGAACGUGUGGAGAGUAUAAAGGAAAAAUGUAAACGAAUGGAGAAAACUCUGUUUAAAAAUACACUUAGAUAAAUACAAUUUUUGCUGCAAAGAAACAAACUUCUUAGUACAUGUACUUACCACCAAAGGGAUUAAGACAAACCCUGAGAAAGUUAAAGGGGUAUUGUAACUAAAGUUACUAACAACACAUAAACAAAUUAAGGGAAUAUUCUGCUUUAGAAGCCCGAAUUUUAGUUUUUUUUCGGACUCGAUAAAAAAAAAACAAGAAAUAUUUUUAGCAUACAUUUUUUUAUAUGUUUUUUAUUGAUAUUUAAUGAGUACAAAUCAUUUGUAAUAUUAAAAAAAAAAAAUUUUAAAGUUCCAGGCCGGCAAAGUGGGACAGAUGAAAAAAUGGCGUGUCCUGGUGUUCAGGAUAUCAGGACUACUUAAUACUCCUUAUCCUUAAAGAGGAAGGACGUAGUUAUAGCACUACGAGAGGAUUUUGGAAAAAAAUAUUUUUUCACAAAAUGGCGGCUGUUUGAAAAAUCUUCCCUUUUUUUCCGUUCGGAAUUUUUUAAUAACAUAAAAAAAAUUGGUUUUUCAAAAAUCCUCUCGUAGUGCGACUGUAUAAUGUAUACAUAAGCUCUGUAUAAAAUUUCAAGUAAAUCGAUUGAGUAGAACUUGAGACAUCAUGCACUGCGUUCCAAAAAAAGUAGUUCAGAGAAAAAAAAAAAUAAAAUAAUUUACUUAAGCCAAGAAAAAGAUAUAUCAGAUAUUCCUCGACGAAAUAAUUAAUCCGGAAAAGUAGGAAUUUAUUCGGAACUAAAUCACCAUCAAUAUAAUAGGUUGCAAGAAAAAUUUAUUGAUAUUUAUAGCCAAAAAGAAAAAAUUAAAUUUAUCAUAACAUUCAAAACAAUUGCUUUUAUUCUUGAAGACAGGAAUAGCAUAACUAUUGAAGAAAAACUAAAACAGUACAUAUCGAUUAGAUGACGACCACAACUAAUGAUUUUAGAUAAUGAAUUAAAUUAUAUUAAUGUUAAGCAUUUUUUAAACGAAAAGGAAAUACAGACUCAUAACAAACCAGACAGUCAUACUGGUAAUGCAGAUAUAGAACGAUUUCAUAGUAGUUAGUGAGAGUAUUAAAAAUUGAAAAACCAUGCUUGACAAUCCAGGAACAAGUUUUUCAAAGUAUUAAAUGCUAUAAUAAUUCUAUUCAUUCAACAACAAGAGCAAGACCAAUAGGAAGGAUAAAAUAUGAUACAUGAAAAAUUUUUUAAUAAUAAAAUGCGCAUUAUCCAAAAAUUUAAUAAAAAUAGAGACAACUUUAGAAAUACUGAUCAAGAUGGAUACGUUAAGAACUAUAAGGCAGUUAGACAUAGGUAUGUUCAAUCCUAAUGAUAUUAAUAUUACUAACGGUAAAAACAAUUGAUGGACGUAUGGAGAUUAAGAGAUAGGAUAUAUUAAAAUAACAACAGAACAAUAUACAACAACCAGAAGAGAAAGAGAAAGCCCAACCACUAGAAAUGCAAUUAGAAAUUAGAAAAAAGAAACAUAUAUUCCUCAUCGCCACAAAAGAAGUCUAAUAAACGUAGUAGGAAGGGCAAAAAAAUGGAUAUUUGGAACCAUGAAUGAUGAAGACAGUGGAAGAACAUUUGCACAUAAUUAUAAUUAAUAACCACAAAACUAUUAAAACAAUCAAGCGACAAAUAAGUAUAUAUUCAAAACUAGAAUCAUUAAUUGAACAUGAUAGGGAAUUAAUAAUAAAAACCGUAAAUUUUAUCAGAAAACAAGAAAAGGAAAACCAAAAACAUAUUUACUAACGAGUUUCAUGAUAAAAUUAAAGAUUCUGCAAGACAAUAUAUCGCACACAGCAAGAUGCUAAAAAAUGACGAAAUUGAAUAUUUCAAUGUAGACUUUAAUAACCUACAAAACAUCAAAGUAGGCACUUUGAUUGAUGAAAAAGGGCGCAUUAUAUUCCCAAUAAGAAGAGAUAUAAUUAAUUUACCUAUUUUUAAAACUAUAACUUUAGGAGAUAGAUGCAAAAAGAACUUUGUUAAAAUUUGUUAGAUUUAUGAAUUCUUUAUUAGUAUAUAAAGAAAACG